UACGAAGGGGGCUAGCGUUGUUCGGAAUUACUGGGCGUAAAGGGCGCGUAGGCGGUGUGUCAAGUCGGGCGUGAAAGCCCCGGGCUCAACCUGGGAACCGCGCUUGAGACUGGCACGCUAGAGUUCGGGAGAGGAUGGUGGAAUUCCCAGUGUAGAGGUGAAAUUCGUAGAUAUUGGGAAGAACACCGAUGGCGAAGGCAGCCAUCUGGACCGACACUGACGCUGAGGCGCGAAAGCGUGGGGAGCAAACAGG
rnacentral:rRNA from 1 species